rnacentral:rRNA from 1 species
AUUGAACGCUGGCGGCAGGCCUAACACAUGCAAGUCGAGCGGGGUUUUCGGACCUAGCGGCGGACGGGUGAGUAAUGCGUAGGAAGCUACCCGAUAGAGGGGGAUACCAGUUGGAAACGACUGUUAAUACCGCAUAAUGUCUACGGACCAAAGUGUGGGACCUUCGGGCCACAUGCUAUCGGAUGCGCCUACGUGGGAUUAGCUAGUUGGUGAGGUAAUGGCUCACCAAGGCGACGAUCCCUAGCUGGUUUGAGAGGAUGAUCAGCCACACGGGAAAUGAGACACGGUCCAGACUCCUACGGGAGGCAACAGUGGGGAAUAUUGGACAAUGGGCGCAAGCCUGAUCCAGCCAUGCCGCGUGUGUGAAGAAGGCCUUCGGGUUGUAAAGCACUUUCAGUAGGGAGGAAGCGUUGUGUGUUAAUAGUACACAGCGUUGACGUUACCUACAGAAGAAGCACCGGCUAACUCUGUGCCAGCAGCCGCGGUAACAC